rnacentral:lncRNA from 1 species
UGCUUGGCAGCAAGUGCUAUUAACCAUGGAGGCAUCUUGCUGGCUCAUCUUCUGUUUAACUCAGCAUAAUGCAGCAGUGGCAGCGGCAAAAUUAACAAGCACAACGAAGGCCAUUGCUGGAUCAAGGAAGAAAGCAGAACAGGUGAACAGGAGCAGCCAUCUCCCCAGCAGACCCAAGAGAGCAUCAUACAUAGUAAACGGAAUCUCUCCACACUGGGAUUCUAUUGCAACAACUGGAUGCUCCCCUACUGUGUAAGCUGUCUCAGACAAACCCCACAGAACAGAUGGAACAACCCACCACUCCAAACAUCUCUUCCUGGCUCUUUGCUGGAACCCCAGGGGGCAAGAUAUCCACAACCACUAGAAACAAUGUCUUCCGACUCCUAAGCAGACACUGUGUCAGCCUCCAGCCUCCCACCGGCUGCAAAGAAUAAAAAUAAAUGAACCAAAGACCAGACCAUCUUGAAACUUUUAAAAGUUGAUGCCUGCAUUUGUUGGUACAAUGAGAAUGGACAGAACCUGGACUUUGCUGGAAGGGGCCUGGAGAUUGGGGGGUGGAGGUUACAUUGUCAUUUCUGCACAGAAUAGUUCUGCAUUCUGUGUUCUGUGGCAGAAAGGCAGCAAGUGCUAGUUUUGGCCUUCUGUCCCAGGCAGUACUUUGGGAGAUUCUAGUGUAAAGCUUUUAUGCUUUUUCUCCAGGUUCUUUCAGUUACUGUAACUUCUGCUCCAAGGGGGUGAAAUU